GCGGCCCGGCUCCUUGUUUACCCGCGGUGCAUGUCGGGGCGGUCUCCUUUGGCAACGCAGGCCCUCGCGCUGCCCCGGGGCGAUGCCGCGAGGGCGCGGUGGCGGUGGCGUGCGCCCGAUCCCCGCCGCGUCCGCGCCCUUGGCGAGUCCCAGCUACUACGAAAGGGUGGGCCAGCUCCAGCAGGCGCUGCGGGACAGUGAAAAGAAGAGAUUUGACCUGGAAGACAAGCUUUAUGAAUACAAUAAGUCUGAUAAGUGCAGAGCUAAGCUGAAAUGUGCAAAACUAAAGAAAUACCUGAAGGAAAUAUGUGAAUCUGAAAGGAGGGCUCGUGUCCGAAACCAAGGAUAUUUAAAGAAGUUCGAAUGUGUCCAGACUUAUGUUGAACACUUGACCACAAAUACAGAGCAGCUUCAAAAACUGAAGACUGAAUAUGAGGCUGAAAUAAAGAAGAUGCACCUACUGUUAAAAGACAGCCCGGGAAUGAAAGAUGAAGACAGAGAAAAGGAUGCAGUGCAGGCAGGAAUUAACUCAGGGACAGCCAUGUCAAGAGGAUUGUAUCAACCAGCAACAAUCUUUAUGGGCCGCCAGAUGUCAGCCAUCUCAAGCAUUGACGAUUUCAGUACAGAGCAGAAAUCUAACCAGCCCACAAAGAACCGUUCAAUUCCUGACCCACAUUCACACCAACAGACAGCCCAGAGCAGCUGUGUGACAGACAGCUGUGUAGUACAAACUAAUAGUGACACACAGUGCUUAAAUAAGUCUGACAAACUAGAUGGAAAGACAUCUCUUCAGAUUGGUGAGCAAACGCCAGUCACAAGCCAUGUAUUGUCUGAGGAAGAACAAACUCAUUGCUUGGAGAUAGGGAGCAGCACACGUCACAGCACGAGUAAUUUAUCUGAAGGCAGAAAGUCUGCUGAACUCCAUUCCUCGUUACAGGAAAGAUUAAGUCCAGAGAACAGAACCACUGAUUUAAAGUGUGACAGUUCCAGCAGAUCAGAGGGAUCAGACGGAGAAAUACUGACACAAGAACAUAUUGAAGUCGGGGAAGAAAGAGCUAGGCCGCCGGUCCCCAUGCUAUCAGUUUCAGAACACCGUGCAUCUGCAAAUAAGUGGGCUGGAGAGAGGCAUUCUGCUUGGGAAGGUUUCUCAGAUGCUCUUGCUCAUGGGGACCCAAAGUCACAAAAGGCCUUUCUGAAAAUGCAGGAGGAGAAGGAGGAGGAGGAAAGUUCAUGCAGCAGCAGUGACCUCACAGUUUCUGUAAGUGAUGAUGAUCUCAUUUUGGAGAAUCUGGAGUCACUGCCAAAUCCAGGAGCCAAGAUGGAGGGUGAAGAUGGAAGGCAGGCCUCACGAUCAGUCUACACCGAGCAGCAAAGAGAUCUGCUCUUCACUGAUUACAGUUUGCACACCCAAAGCUUUCCUGAUUCAGAAAGGGAGUCCUCCCCAGACUCACCAAGACAAUCUGAACAAGUACCAGAUUGGCACUUACUGAAGACACAAGGACAGUGUAUGAAGGAACGUGAUAAUUCUUCUAAAGAAGAGGCCACAGCAUUAUUGAAAAAAGUCCUUACAGAAGAAUGUGACCAUAGGUCAGCUAUUCACAGCAAUGAAUCAUCUUGCAGCAUGCCAUCUAUUCUGAAUGACAAUAAUGGAAUAAAGGAGGCAAAACCCGCUCUGCGGCUCAACAGUGUUCUUACAAGGGAACAAGAAGUUUCCAGUGGCUGUGGAGACGAGAGCAAGGAGGAAAGCGUAGCUGCAGCCCCAGUCACAGGACACAGAGAGGCGGAUAUAGUACCCUCAGAACUGUUCCAGUUCGGCUUGGGAGCAGCUAUGAAAGAGACAAAAGCUUACCAGUUACUGAAGAAGUCUACCCUUCAGGAUAAUUCGAAUCAACCUGAAGAGAGGUUUGAAAGUCAAUUUUCAAUGUUCUGUGGAUAUUUUGCCCUGGCCCUUAGAAGUUUAGAAACCUUCUGUGGCUUGAAGGAAAUCUUCCUCUCGAUUUCCCCAACUUCCCAGGAGGCUGUGUCCGUCGGCGCUGGUGGCUGUGUCCGUCUGCGCUGGUGGCUGUGUCCGUCUGCGCUGGUGGCUGUGUCCGUCUGCGCUGGUGGCUGUGUCCGUCUGCGCUGGUGGCUGUGUGGUGGCUAACUCUCACUCCCCUUGUUUGUGCUCGCCACAGGUUUGGAUAUCGGCAGCAGCGCAUUCAAGACAAAGACGGCCCACAAAAUCGCUUCGGAAGCUAGUUUUUCAUCUAGUAAAGGAAGUCCUUUGUCAAGGCAUGAAAGCAAAAGGGACACAGUGAC